rnacentral:rRNA from 1 species
AGAGUUUGAUCCUGGCUCAGGACGAACGCUGGCGGCGUGCUUAACACAUGCAAGUCGAACGAUGAAGCUGUGCUUGCACAGUGGAUUAGUGGCGAACGGGUGAGUAACACGUGAGUAACCUGCCCUUCACUUUGGGAUAACUCCGAGAAAUCGGGGCUAAUACCGGAUAUGACUACUGGCCGCAUGGUUGGUGGUGGAAAGUUUUUCGGUGAGGGAUGGGCUCGCGGCCUAUCAGUUUGUUGGUGAGGUAGUGGCUCACCAAGGCGAUGACGGGUAGCCGGCCUGAGAGGGCGACCGGCCACACUGGGACUGAGACACGGCCCAGACUCCUACGGGAGGCAGCAGUGGGGAAUAUUGCACAAUGGGCGAAAGCCUGAUGCAGCGACGCCGCGUGGGGGAUGACGGCCUUCGGGUUGUAAACCUCUUUCAGCAAGGAAGAAGCGAAAGUGACGGUACUUGCAGAAGAAGCGCCGGCUAACUACGUGCCAGCAGCCGCGGUAAUACGUAGGGCGCAAGCGUUGUCCGGAAUUAUUGGGCGUAAAGGGCUUGUAGGUGGCUUGUCGCGUCUGCCGUGAAAACUCGAGGCUUAACCUUGGGCGUGCGGUGGGUACGGGCAGGCUAGAGUGCGGUAGGGGAGACUGGAAUUCCUGGUGUAGCGGUGAAAUGCGCAGAUAUCAGGAGGAACACCGAUGGCGAAGGCAGGUCUCUGGGCCGUUACUGACACUGAGAAGCGAAAGCAUGGGGAGCGAACAGGAUUAGAUACCCUGGUAGUCCAUGCCGUAAACGUUGGGCACUAGGUGUGGGGAGCAUUCCACGUUUUCCGCGCCGUAGCUAACGCAUUAAGUGCCCCGCCUGGGGAGUACGGCCGCAAGGGUAAAACUCAAAUGAAUUGACGGGGGCCCGCACAAGCGGUGGAGCAUGUGGUUUAA